rnacentral:rRNA from 1 species
CAGCAGUGGGGAAUAUUGCACAAUGGGCGCAAGCCUGAUGCAGCGACGCCGCGUGAGGGAUGGAGGCCUUCGGGUUGUAAACCUCUUUUAUCGGGGAGCAAGCGAGAGUGAGUUUACCCGUUGAAUAAGCACCGGCUAACUACGUGCCAGCAGCCGCGGUAAUACGUAGGGUGCAAGCGUUAUCCGGAAUUAUUGGGCGUAAAGGGCUCGUAGGCGGUUCGUCGCGUCCGGUGUGAAAGUCCAUCGCUUAACGGUGGAUCCGCGCCGGGUACGGGCGGGCUUGAGUGCGGUAGGGGAGACUGGAAUUCCCGGUGUAACGGUGGAAUGUGUAGAUAUCGGGAAGAACACCAAUGGCGAAGGCAGGUCUCUGGGCCGUUACUGACGCUGAGGAGCGAAAGCGUGGGGAGCGAACAGGAUUAGAUACCCUGGUAGUCCACGCCGUAAACGGUGGAUGCUGGAUGUGGGGCCCGUUCCACGGGUUCCGUGUCGGAGCUAACGCGUUAAGCAUCCCGCCUGGGGAGUACGGCCGCAAGGCUAAAACUCAAAGAAAUUGACGGGGGCCCGCACAAGCGGCGGAGCAUGCGGAUUAAUUCGAUGCAACGCGAAGAACCUUACCUGGGCUUGACAUGUUCCCGACAGCCCCAGAGAUGGGGCCUCCCUUCGGGGCGGGUUCACAGGUGGUGCAUGGUCGUCGUCAGCUCGUGUCGUGAGAUGUUGGGUUAAGUCCCGCAACGAGCGCAACCCUCGCCCCGUGUUGCCAGCGGAUUAUGCCGGGAACUCACGGGGGACCGCCGGGGUUAACUCGGAGGAAGGUGGGGAUGACGUCAGAUCAUCAUGCCCCUUACGUCCAGGGCUUCACGCAUGCUACAAUGGCCGGUACAACGGGAUGCGACGCGGCGACGCGGAGCGGAUCCCUGAAAACCGGUCUCAGUUCGGAUCGCAGUCUGCAACUCGACUGCGUGAAGGCGGAGUCGCUAGUAAUCGCGAAUCAGCAACGUCGCGGUGAAUGCGUUCCCGGGCCUUGUACACACCGCCCGUCAAGUCAUGAAAGUGGGCAGCACCCGAAGCCGGUGGCCUAACCCCUUGUGGGAUGGAGCCGUCUAAGGUGAGGCUCGUGAUUGGGACUAAGUCGUAACAAGGUAGCCGUACCGGAAGGUGCGGCUG